GGCACUAAUAGUGGAUGCCUUGACAAUCAAUACCGAUGAAGGACGUAGAACUCUGCGAUAAGUCUUGGGGAGCUGAGAGCAAGCUUUGAUCCAGGAAUCUCCGAAUGGGGCAACCUAAUACGAGUCAUGUCGUAUUGCAAUUACUUGAACACAUAGAGUAAUUAGACGGGAACCAGCCGAACUGAAUCAUCUUAGUAGGUUGAGGAAAAGAGAAUAAACAAUGAUUCCGAAAGUAGUGGCGAGCGAAAUUGGAACAGCCCAAACCUUAACAUAACCAUACGGUUUAACGGCCAGAGUUAUGAAAGGGGUUGUGAAAUAAGAUAAUUUUUAUGCUGAGUUAUUGGAAGAAAUUGCCAAUAUUCAGCAUAAAAACCAACAUCGUUAAGUGAAUGGAUAAUGAUAAAAUCCUUUAGAUCAUAGCAGAAGUGUUUGAAUGGCACACCAUAGAAGGUGAGAGUCCUGUACGCGAAAUGGUCUUAGGCAUUAUAUAUCUUUUUUCAAGUAGGACGGGGCACGAGAAACCCUGUUUGAAUCUGGCUGGACCACCAGCCAAGGCUAAAUAUAAUAUACGAUCGAUAGUGAACUAGUACAGUGAUGGAAAGGUGAAAAGAACCCCGGGAGGGGAGUGAAAUAGAUCCUGAAAUUUAGUGCCUACAAGGAGUCGGAGCCGGCUUGUCCGGUGACGGCGUGCUUUUUGUAGAACGAUCCAGCGAGUUAAUUUCGUGCGCAAGGUUAAGCCAGUUGGCGGAGCCACAGUGAAAGCGAGCCUGAAUAGGGCGAUUAAGUGUACGGGAUUAGACCCGAAACCGGGUGACCUAACCAUGAGCAGGUUGAAGCCACUGUAACAGGUGGUGGAGGACCGAACCAGGAUACGCAGCAAAGUGUUUGGAUGACUUGUGGUUAGCGGUGAAAUGCCAAUCGAACUCGGAGAUAGCUGGUUCUCCUCGAAACAGUUUUAGGACUGGCGUCAUGUGGUAGCAGUCGGGGGUAGAGCUCUGUAAAGGACUGGGGGGAGCAAUCCUACCCACCCUUAACAAACUACGAAUACCGGCUGUGGAAUCAUGGCAGUUAGAACGGCGGAGCUAAGUUCGUCGCUCAAAAGGGAAACAGCCCAGACCAUCGUCUAAGGUCCCUAAAUUUACGUUAAGUGGGAAACAAGGUGAGAUUUCUUAAACAGCUAGGAUGUUGGCUUAGAAGCAGCCAUUCAUUUAAAGAGUGCGUAACAGCUCACUAGUCAAGAGAUCUUGCGUGGAAAAUGUAACGGGGCUAAACGUAAUACCGAAGACAUGGGUCUAUGCAUUAGCAUGGGCGGUAGAGGAGCGUUCCUAUCGGCAGUGAAGCAGCAUUGUAAAGUGCUGUGGAGCGGUAGGAAGUGAGAAUGCUGGAAUGAGUAACCAUAAGAUAGGUGAGAAUCCUGUCGGCCGUAAGAGCAAGGUUUCCUGAGCUAUGGUAAUCAUCUCAGGGUUAGUCGGGCCUAAGCCGAGGCGCAUAGCGUAGGCGAUGGACAUCAGGUUGAUAUUCCUGAACCGGCGUAGUUUGUACACUGUUCACGGAGAGAUAUUCAGAGCGGAUUCAUGGUUUAUCCGUCCAACCGAGCGGGAACGCAAAGGGAGUGAAAGUUACUCUUCGGAGUGAUGAUUCUGGAAAAGGCUCUGGCUAGAAAAGCAGGUGUACGCGUGGCUAUGUCCGCCCGUACCGCAAACCAACACAGGUGCUCGAGUCGAGUAGACUCAGGCUUACGAGCGAACCUUCGCUAAGGAACUCGGCAAUACAGCGACCGUAACUUCGGGAUAAGGUCUGCCCCCACUUCGGUGGAUAUCAGCCGCGUUCACUCAGUGAAUAAUAGGUUAAAGAGUACAUUUUUAAUCACAAAACGAAUUUUCUGAGACACGAGCAAACAAAUUGCUCUUUGAACGCGAACCUCUUGUAUCUAACGAUGUGGGGGCCGCAGCAAAAGAGCCCACGGAACUGUUUAUCAAAAACACAGGUCUCUGCUAACACGAAAGUGGAUGUAUAGGGGCUGACUCCUGCCCGGUGCCGGAAGGUUAAGGGGAGUGCUUCACGGUGCAAACUGAAGCCCCGGUGAACGGCGGCGGUAACUAUAACCGUCCUAAGGUAGCGAAAUUCCUUGUCAGGUAAGUUCUGACGCGCAUGAAUGGCAUAAUCAUCCCCAUGCUGUCUUACCCUUAAACUCGGUGAAAUUACAUUCCCGGUAAAAAUGCCGGGUAGUCACAGUUAGACGGGAAGACCCUGUGAAGCUUUACUGUAGAUUGAUAUUGGAUUGUAGCAUGUCUUGCUCAGUAUAGGUGGGAGGCUUUGAUGUUUCAACUUCGGUUGGGGCGGAGCCAAUAGUGAGAUACCACCCAAAAUAUGUAGCAAUUCUAAUCCCUAGGUUGGGAGACAGUUUCAGUUGGACAGUUUACCUGGGGCGGGGGCCUCCUAAAAAGUAGCGGAGGCGUGCAAAGGUUUGCUUACUACGGAUGGAAACCGUGGUGAAUGUGUAUUCGCAUAAGCAAGCUUGACUGUGAGACUGACAGGUCGAACAGAUACGAAAGUAGGCGAAAGUGAUCCGGAUCUUCCAAGUGGAAGGGGAUCCGCUCAACGGAUAAAAGUUACUCCGGGGAUAACAGGCUAAUGGAAUCUAAGCGUUCACAGCGACGAUUCCGUUUGGCACCUCGAUGUCGACUCGUCGCAUCCUGGGGCUGUAGAAGGUCCCAAGGGUUGGGUUGUUCACCCAUUAAAGCGGGACGCGAGUUGGG
rnacentral:rRNA from 1 species